rnacentral:rRNA from 1 species
GUAGGUGGCAAGCGUUGUCCGGAAUUAUUGGGCGUAAAGCGCGCGCAGGCGGUUCUUUAAGUCUGAUGUGAAAGCCCACGGCUCAACCGUGGAGGGUCAUUGGAAACUGGAGAACUUGAGUACAGAAGAGGAAAGCGGAAUUCCACGUGUAGCGGUGAAAUGCGUAGAGAUGUGGAGGAACACCAGUGGCGAAGGCGGCUUUCUGGUCUGUAACCGACGCUGAGGCGCGAAAGCGUGGGGAGCAAACAGGGAUUAGAUACCCUGGUAGUCCACGCCGUAAACGAUGAGUGCUAAGUGUUAGGGGGUUUCCCGCCCCUUAGUGCUGCAGCUAACGCAUUAAGCACUCCGCCUGGGGAGUACGGCCGCAAGGCUG